ensembl:lncRNA
CUGAACUGAACUAAACUGAAUGAAGAUAAUAGCGACCUCCUUCAAAAGGUCCCUGGCACACUGCCUCACUCAGUCCCCCCGACCCUGCAGCAGGCCACGGCCAAUCGACGCCUCUGCAAGAGACUCCUGGCCAACCCAUGGAUCAAUCUGGGUCAGUCUCUUGCAGGGUCACUGUUCCUUUCUCCUGUGUCCUGGUGUGCACAAGGUUUCGUUUGUGCCAAGAGUCUGGCCUAGUUUUUGUGGCACCUCCUUGUGCGCACAAUGUUUUGUUUGAGCUCUCUGAGUGUCUCUGGUGGGUAUGAGGUUUGAGUCUAAACUCGAUUUUUCCCCUCCUACUGUCUUCCUGGAGCUUCUCCUUUGCCCUUGGACGUGUGGUAUGUUUUUUUGGUGGGAUCCAACAUUCUCCUCUCGAUGGUUUUUCAGCAGUGAGCUGUAAUUUUGGAAUUCUCACAGGAGAAGAUGAUCGUAUGUCCUCCUACUGCACCAUUUUCCAGUGAGCAUUGGCACGUAAUAGCUGUUCACAUAGUGUUUACAGGUUCACUGAAUGAGUAAAUGCUAAUACAUUUGUGUCUCUUCCUACUAAGGGCCAGGGAGAAGGUUUUAUUCCAUGUAUUCCCAAUAGAUAGCCUGGUACAUGGCAUGUAAAAUCGAUAAACUUGUCUCUCUGUAUAGCUUCACUGUCUCCCUGAGUUCCAAGAUUCCACUUCUCCUCUGUGCUCUUUUUGAGACCUUGCAUCCACCCUGCCAUGCCAUAGCCCACUUUGCUGCAUGUGAAUUUCCAGCCUGUAGAAGAAAAUCUGGCCAGCUGCUGCUUGACAGCUGGAAAAACAGAGCCACGGUGGAGGCAAACAGUUUUGUAUCUCAGGGCAGCAGGGAGGAGAACCUCCUGUCUCAUGUGGGCAUGUGGGUGGAGAGCUGAGUCACUGAGUUCUUUGAAUUCCUUGGAAAAAGAUAACUCAAAGGAAUAUUACACAACACAGAGAAACAGGAGAGAAUGAGCAGAGAUAACAAAAG